GACGAACGCUGGCGGCGUGCCUAAUACAUGCAAGUAGGACGCAGUUGCGAACGGGUGAGUAACGCGUAGGUGACUACCUAUUUGAGGGGGAUAACUAGUGGAAACGAUAGCUAAUACCGCAUACUAGUAGAUGGACCUGCGUUGUAGUAGCUAGUAGGUAGGGUAAUGGCCUACCUAGGCAACGAUACAUAGCCGAUCUGAGAGGGUGAACGGCCCAAGUGGGAAUGAGAACCGGGCCAGAGUCCGCCUGGAGGGAGCAGUAGGGAAUCUUCGGAAAUGGGGGGAACCCUGACCGAGCAACGCCGCGUGAGUGAAGAAGGUUUUCGGAUCGUAAAGCUAUGUUGUUAAGGAAGCGGUACUUAACCAGAAAGGGACGGCUAACUUCGUGCCAGCCGCCGCGGUAAUAC
rnacentral:rRNA from 1 species